rnacentral:tRNA from 1 species
UAUAAGAGGGUGUCCCCGCACGUAAAAUUUUGGAUUUUAAAGUAAACGUAGUUUUCUUAUAU